rnacentral:rRNA from 1 species
AUUGAACGCUGGCGGCAGGCUUAACACAUGCAAGUCGAGCGGAGAUGAGGUGCUUGCACCUUAUCUUAGCGGCGGACGGGUGAGUAAUGCUUAGGAAUCUGCCUAUUAGUGGGGGACAACAUUCCGAAAGGAAUGCUAAUACCGCAUACGUCCUACGGGAGAGAGCAGGGGAUCUUCGGACCUUGCGCUAAUAGAUGAGCCUAAGUCGGAUUAGCUAGUUGGUGGGGUAAAGGCCUACCAAGGCGACGAUCUGUAGCGGGUCUGAGAGGAUGAUCCGCCACGCUGGGACUGAGACACGGCCCAGACUCCUACGGGAGGCGGCAGUGGGGAAGAUUGGACAAUGGGGGGAACCCUGACCCAGCCAUGCCGCGUGUGUGAAGAAGGCCUUAUGGUUGUAAAGCACUUUAAGCGAGGAGGAGGCUACUGAGACUAAUACUCUUGGAUAGUGGACGUUACUCGCAGAAUAAGCACCGGCUAACUCUGUGCCAGCCGCCGCAGUAAAAC